AAGUAAAAGUCGUAACAAGGUCUCCGUAGGUGAACCUGCGGAGGGAUCAUUACAAGUUGACCCCGGCCCUCGGGCCGGGAUGUUCACAACCCUUUGUUGUCCGACUCUGUUGCCUCCGGGGCGACCCUGCCUCCGGGCGGGGGCCCCGGGUGGACAUUUCAAACUCUUGCGUAACUUUGCAGUCUGAGUAAAUUUAAUUAAUAAAUUAAAACUUUCAACAACGGAUCUCUUGGUUCUGGCAUCGAUGAAGAACGCAGC
rnacentral:misc_RNA from 1 species